rnacentral:rRNA from 1 species
AAUCAACGCUGGCGGCGUGCCUAACACAUGCAAGUCGAACGCGGUUGUCCCGCAAGGGGCAACUGAGUGGCAAACGGGUGAGUAACACGUGGGUGACCUGCCUUCGAGUGGGGGAUAACGUUUCGAAAGGAACGCUAAUACCGCAUGACAUCCUGCCUUUGGACAGGCGGAGAUCAAAGCUGGGGAUCGUAAGACCUGGCGCUUGGAGAGGGGCCCGCGUCCGAUUAGCUAGUUGGUGGGGUAACGGCUCACCAAGGCGACGAUCGGUAUCCGGCCUGAGAGGGCGGACGGACACACUGGGACUGAGACACGGCCCAGACUCCUACGGGAGGCAGCAGUGGGGAAUUGUUCGCAAUGGGCGCAAGCCUGACGACGCAACGCCGCGUGGAGGAUGAAGGUCUUCGGAUUGUAAACUCCUGUUGAUCGGGACGAACAACCGCCGGGAUAACACCCUGGCGGUCUGACGGUACCGAUUGAGGAAGCCCCGGCUAACUCUGUGCCAGCAGCCGCGGUAAUACAGAGGGGGCAAGCGUUGUUCGGAAUUACUGGGCGUAAAGGGCGCGUAGGCGGCCGCCUAAGUCAGACGUGAAAUCCCUCGGCUCAACCGGGGAACUGCGUCUGAUACUGGGUGGCUUGAAUCCGGGAGAGGGAUGCGGAAUUCCAGGUGUAGCGGUGAAAUGCGUAGAUAUCUGGAGGAACACCGGUGGCGAAGGCGGCAUCCUGGACCGGCAUUGACGCUGAGGCGCGAAAGCCAGGGGAGCAAACGGGAUUAGAUACCCCGGUAGUCCUGGCCCUAAACGAUGAGUGCUUGGUGUGGCGGGUAUCGAUCCCUGCCGUGCCGAAGCUAACGCAUUAAGCACUCCGCCUGGGGAGUACGGUCGCAAGGCUGA